rnacentral:tRNA from 1 species
GGGAGUGUAGCUCAGUGGUAGAGUGCAUGCUUUGCACGUAUGAGGUCCCAGGUUUGAUCCCCAGCACCUCCA